rnacentral:rRNA from 1 species
AUUGAACGCUGGCGGCAGGCUUAACACAUGCAAGUCGAGCGAGCGGCGGACGGGUGAGUAAUGUAUGGGAAACUGCCUGAUGGAGGGGGAUAACUACUGGAAACGGUAGCUAAUACCGCAUACCAUCAGAUGUGCCCAGAUGGGAUUAGCUAGUAGGUGGGGUAAUGGCUCACCUAGGCGACGAUCCCUAGCUGGUCUGAGAGGAUGACCAGCCACACGGGAACGGAGACACGGCCCAGACUCCUACGGGAGGCAGCAGUGGGGAAGAUUGCACAAUGGGCGCAAGCCUGAUGCAGCCAUGCCGCGUGUGUGAAGAAGGCCUUAGGGUUGUAAAGCACUUUCAGCGGGGAGGCUUUACCCGCAGAAGAAGCACCGGCUAACUCCGUGCCAGCAGCCGCGGUAAUAC